rnacentral:rRNA from 1 species
GGCCUUGACAUGCAGAGAACUUUCCAGAGAUGGAUUGGUGCCUUCGGGAACUCUGACACAGGUGCUGCAUGGCUGUCGUCAGCUCGUGUCGUGAGAUGGUUGGGUUAACGUCCCGUAACGAGCGCAACCCUUGUCCUUAGUUACCAGCACGUUAUGGUGGGCACUCUAAGGAGACUGCCGGUGACAAACCGGAGGAAGGUGGGGAUGACGUCAAGUCAUCAUGGCCCUUACGGCCUGGGCUACACACGUGCUACAAUGGUCGGUACAAAGGGUUGCCAAGCCGCGAGGUGGAGCUAAUCCCAUAAAACCGAUCGUAGUCCGGAUCGCAGUCUGCAACUCGACUGCGUGAAGUCGGAAUCGCUAGUAAUCGUGAAUCAGAAUGUCACGGUGAAUACGUUCCCGGGCCUU